rnacentral:rRNA from 1 species
GACGAACGCUGGCGGCGUGCUUAACACAUGCAAGUCGAACGGAAAGGCCCUGCUUUUGUGGGGUGCUCGAGUGGCGAACGGGUGAGUAACACGUGAGUAACCUGCCCUUGACUUUGGGAUAACUUCAGGAAACUGGGGCUAAUACCGGAUAGGAGCUCCUGCUGCAUGGUGGGGGUUGGAAAGUUUCGGCGGUUGGGGAUGGACUCGCGGCUUAUCAGCUUGUUGGUGGGGUAGUGGCUUACCAAGGCUUUGACGGGUAGCCGGCCUGAGAGGGUGACCGGCCACAUUGGGACUGAGAUACGGCCCAGACUCCUACGGGAGGCAGCAGUGGGGAAUAUUGCACAAUGGGCGGAAGCCUGAUGCAGCAACGCCGCGUGCGGGGUGACGGCCUUCGGGUUGUAAACCGCUUUCGCCUGUGACGAAGCGUGAGUGACGGUAAUGGGUAAAGAAGCACCGGCUGACUACGUG